CAACGAAUGAGUUCCCGGUGGGUUGAUCUGCCCUUCAGUAUGGGACAAGCCCUGGAAACGGGGUCUAAUACCGGAUAACACUUCCACUCUCCUGAGUGGUGGUUAAAAGCUCCGGCGGUGAAGGAUGAGCCCGCGGCCUAUCAGCUUGUUGGUGAGGUAAUGGCUCACCAAGGCGACGACGGGUAGCCGGCCUGAGAGGGCGACCGGCCACACUGGGACUGAGACACGGCCCAGACUCCUACGGGAGGCAGCAGUGGGGAAUAUUGCACAAUGGGCGAAAGCCUGAUGCAGCGACGCCGCGUGAGGGAUGACGGCCUUCGGGUUGUAAACCUCUUUCAGCAGGGAAGAAGCGAAAGUGACGGUACCUGCAGAAGAAGCGCCGGCUAACUACGUGCCAGCAGCCGCGGUAAUACGUAGGGCGCAAGCGUUGUCCGGAAUUAUUGGGCGUAAAGAGCUCGUAGGCGGCUUGUCACGUCGGGUGUGAAAGCCCGGGGCUUAACCCCGGGUCUGCAUUCGAUACGGGCUAGCUAGAGUGUGGUAGGGGAGAUCGGAAUUCCUGGUGUAGCGGUGAAAUGCGCAGAUAUCAGGAGGAACACCGGUGGCGAAGGCGGAUCUCUGGGCCAUUACUGACGCUGAGGAGCGAAAGCGUGGGGAG
rnacentral:rRNA from 1 species